GACCGCGUAGCUCAGUUGGAAGAGCAUUGGGCUAGUACUCCAAAGGUCGUAGGUUCGAAUCCCACCGUGGCCG